rnacentral:rRNA from 1 species
UACGUAGGGUGCAAGCGUUUGUCCGGAAUUAUUGGGCGUAAAGAGCUUGUAGGCGGUUUGUCGCGUCUGCUGUGAAAUUUCGGGGCUCAACCCCGAACUUGCAGUGGGUACGGGCAGACUAGAGUGUGGUAGGGGAGACUGGAAUUCCUGGUGUAGCGGUGAAAUGCGCAGAUAUCAGGAGGAACACCGAUGGCGAAGGCAGGUCUCUGGGCCAUAACUGACGUGAGAAGCGAAAAGCAUGGGGG